UGGGGAAUAUUGGACAAUGGGCGCAAGCCUGAUCCAGCAAUGCCGCGUGUGUGAAGAAGGCCUUCGGGUUGUAAAGCACUUUUAUCAGGAGCGAAACGCUGUCGGCUAAUACCCGGCGGAACUGACGGUACCUGAGGAAUAAGCACCGGCUAACUUCGUGCCAGCAGCCGCGGUAAUACGAAGGGUGCAAGCGUUAAUCGGAAUUACUGGGCGUAAAGCGUGCGUAGGCGGUUUCUUAAGUCUGCUGUGAAAUCCCCGGGCUCAACCUGGGAAUGGCAGUGGAUACUGGGAGGCUAGAGUGUGUCAGAGGUGGUGGAAUUCCCGGUGUAGCGGUGAAAUGCGUAGAGAUCGGGAGGAACAUCAGUGGCGAAGGCGGCCACCUGGGACAACACUGACGCUGAGGCACGAAAGCGUGGGGAGCAAACAGGAUUAGAUACCCUGGUAGUCCACGCCCUAAAGCGAUGCGAACUGGAUGUUGGUCUCAACUCGGAGAUCAGUGUCGAAGCUAACGCGUUAAGUUCGCCGCCUGGGGAGUACGGUCGCAAGACUGAAACUCAAAUGAAUUGACGGGGUCAUAGCUGUUUCC
rnacentral:rRNA from 1 species